rnacentral:lncRNA from 1 species
UGCGGCAUAUAUGUUAAAAGCUGCUGUUAAUUUCAAGAUUUUUUAUCCUAAUUUAAUUCAUUGUACUUGUGUAGCCCACAGGGUAAAUAGAAUUGCUGAAGAAAUAAGAAAUCUGUUUCCGUUGGUAAAUAAUUUUAUAAAUUUUAUGAAAAAAGUUUUUGUAAAGGCUCCGUUGAGGGUGCAAAUAUAUAAAGAAAGACUUCCCGGUAUCCCUUUGCCACCUAAACCAGUAAUUACAAGGUGGGGAACCUGGCUCGAAGCAUUUUUUUUUACUUUGAACACUGCAAUGAAAUAGAAUUAGUUAUGUCAGAAUUUGAUGAUUAUAUUUCCGAA